rnacentral:lncRNA from 1 species
UAGCUUGCUACUCCUGGCUAAUCCAUGGCGUGGCCUGAACUGAAUUGAUUCAUUCUUGUCAAUUUCUUCGCAGUGUUUGCGUGAUCAACUUGGUCAAAGUGUGGUGGUGUGAUCUGUGAUGUUUGAGUGACGUGUCGUCGCCUUGUAGUUCUUGAUUUCUCAAAGCUUGUACUGAUAUAUACUGUGAUGCACUGGAGGUUAACGCGCGCUUCGCCGCCGCGUCGUUCUUUACUAGUGGGAAUAACUCUUUUUCUAUAACGGGUUAUUAUGCCGUUUCUUUCGACUUGGUUUUACCUGCAUUGGUUUGAGUUUUAAUUAUGUUCUGACGGUGUCAUCUUUUCAUUCCUAUAUCAUGUUUGGCUGUCUUGUUGAAGACAUUAUUUGUUUUCAGAGUUGAGUGGACUUGUUUGAUGAUGGUUGUGGUGUCUUUACACGUUUCGACCUUGGUAUACUAGGUUAUGAUUAUGUGAGCCCCUUGUGAGCUCCUAUUGAGCGUUGAAAUUGCGAAAUUGUUAAUAUAAUGCUCACAUGAGCUGCCCAUAAAACUGUCACUCGCUUAGCUUGGCUCCUUGCUUCGCCCGUUUGCUUAGUAUUUGUUUGCUGGCCAAUGCUAACUCAUAAAACCUUCUAUCGUUUUUCAUUUGAAAAAGUUAGCUAAAUUAAAAGAUGUUCAAGGAUCUUUUUUUAAAGCUUGGGUUUUAAAAAUGUUGUGAAUUGAAAACCAUGGUUUUAAAAAGAAAACGGUGCUUUUAAAAUAUUUAUGUAUUUCAUAGAAUAUUCACAAAUUUAAAUAGCUGAUGGGAAAAGGUUACCUUCAGCCGGCCGAUCGCAUGCGAGCGUCCGCCGCCUCCGCGUCCGUUGGAUUGACUCAUGAUUAGAAGGUCAAGAGAAACCCCUUCCUGCCGACGUUUUCUGCAACUGAGCCUAUGUUUUGAAAAAGGCGGAGAAUCGUGCGGCUGGGAGGGCGAUGGCGACGAGGAUGGCGCGCGGGCAGGAGGCGGGGACGUCUGUGAGCGACAGGGGCGGAGACUCGUGUGGUUAGGAGGGCGACGGCGCUGAGGAUUCUAGUCAGAUCUCGCCGGAUCCGACGAGGAUGACGCGCAGCAGGUGGUGGGGACGUUCGGGAGCGUCAGGGGGCUCGUCUCGGAAACAAAUAGAAAAGAAAAAGGAAGGUUGUUUAUAUUAUACUCAAUUUGACUUGCAUGCUAGAUGCACGCUAUGAAACUAAUUCAUUAUUCAUGCAUGACUACAGUUUUACUAGCGGUGUGUGUAUAAUGUCAAAAUUAUGUACUGAUAAUAGCACAUGCUAUAAACUACUCCCUCCAUUACAAAAUAAGCAUCUCAAGCUUGAGACACUUAUUUUGGGACGGAGGGAGUAUCAAAUAUUAUCUCUGUGUUUUUUGUUUGUGCAUACUCUUAUAUAUUACUCCCUUCGUUCAGAAAUACUUGUCGGAUAGAUAAAUGUAUAUAGACGUAUUUUAGUUAUAGAUAGAUCCAUUUUUAACCAUUUCCUCGACAAGUAUUUCCAAACUGAGGGAGCAUUAUUCAUGUUAUAUUGAGUUCAAAAAAAGAUUAAUUUCUUUGUAGGAAAAAUGAUUUGUCUUUUUUUUAACUUUAGCAACCUCUAUUAAACUAGGAUCAUGUCUGUGAUUUGUCUAGUUUCACUGGUUCUUCCGCAGGUGCCUGUCCGCCGUCCAAAGUAGUUCCCCGUUACACACGGGGCAUAUCAGUUCCCCGUACCCCUAAAAAAAAAA